CUUCCAAACUGUACACAACCCACACUGAAUACCUGCUUCCCUCUAGGCCUGGGCACUUCUGUUCCCUUUGCCCAGCAUACCUUUGUCCCUCCCCACAUUUUCAACACUUGUACUUCUAUUUUUCCCUUAGGACUUCAUUCGUGUAUCACCUCCUCCAGGAAGCAUUCCCUGAUAACACCCUGGCCACAUCCCUGGAGGCUGGUUUAUAUGCCCUUCCUCUGUUUCCAUAGUGACUUCUAUUUUCUACUUACCAUGAGGCACAUCACACUGUAUCUGUCUUUACCACUGGAUACGUCUUGUUUAUUCUUCUAUUUGCAACGUUCUAGAAUCCCUGAAUAUUUGACAACGUAUGCUUUCCCUCUACCAUAUGGCAUGAGUGAGACCAGGGUUGGAACAAUGAUCACUCAAUGUUCCAAGAUUCAUGUAAAAAGAAGUCUUUUGUUUUAAUCACUGAGAACUUCCGGAGAAAAGAAGAAAGGGUCUUGCUUUGUCACCCAGGCUGGAGUGCAAUGGUACGAUCGUGGCUCACGGCAGCCUCAACAUCUCAAGCUUAAGUGAUCCUCCUGCCUCAGCCUCCCAAAGUGCUGGGAUUAUAGGCAUGAGCCACCACACCCAGCCUGAAUUCUUCAUGGAUCUGAUGCCUACAUGCUAUCUGCCUGGGUGCCACUGGAGCUCUGAAUUUUACAUACCAGGAGAAGAUUAGGACACCUAGAGAGACACUAGGGGUUCCUUUGCACAGAAGAAAGGCCACAUGAAGAUGGGGACACAGCAAGAAGGCAGCGGCAGCAAGCAAAGGAGAGAGGCCUCUGAGGAAACCAACCCUGCCAAACACCUGCUGCUUGGACUUCUAGCGUCCAGAACUGUGGACUCUUAUCAAUACCGAACAUUGAAAUCUGGAGGCUCGGCCAUCAGAACUCUUACACAGCACAGAAGACGAGUUUCACGGGUCACUCAGCAUCUACUGGAAGGAUGGAAAAAAUCAAGAAUUUGGCACCCUAAACACAACAUGAGAAGGUUUCACUCAGUAAUGGCCUCCUGAAAACAACUUAAUCUUCUUGGACAAGACUCUGAACUGAAAUCAAGGUUUCAAAAUAUUUUGUUGUGAGUGAUGAAGCUGUCUGGACCUAACUUUUCCGAGAGGCCAAGAAACCAUUCUGUAAUCCUGCAAAAUGGUUUCUGAAGAGUCUGGUGAAAUGCAACUGUUAUCCCUCACUUUGCAUUUUGCUCCAACGAUUCUGAGGUGCAACUUAUGGAUGAGACUGAUUUCUUUCCAUAUUGCUGUAGUAAAUUGGUUUUUGUUGUUUUCAUGGGCUUUGUAAAUCUUGCUGAUAAAAUCCAUAAGUGAUUUGCUAACAUAAAAGCUAACUGGAGAAACAUAAAAAAUAAUUCAAAAAUCAUUUCAUCUUAUCAACUGGAUUAAAAUUAAAAUUAUUAGAAAUACUAAUGAUAGUAUUUCUUUCCAGAGUGGUAAUGGAGUUUUUUUCCUUUUUAUUAAUAGCCCUUAAUGUAUCUUAUGGGAACAAUUAAUAGACAUUCUUCAAACUCCUUCAGAAAGCCCAAUGACAAGUGGCAUUUUUACCAGCGAGAUUCUCAGCGAAUAUAUAAUUCUUUGUCAAUAUUCAAAUUAAGGCAGAAACUCUAGAGUCUGAUCUGUAUCUAUUUCAUCUUUUAAAUGUGUUGAAAGGCCUCUGAGUGCAUCUUAAGCAGUUGGUAAAUAUUUUUCAGGUCAUCACAUACAGGAACUGGACCCCAGUUUUUCCUAAAAAAAUAUGUAUGUACAGAUGACAGAAAAAAAAUUGCCUUCAGAAAAUGGAACCCAUGUGCCAAGGCCUGGUCAGUAAAAAAAUCCCUAAUUUUUGCUUGUUUUAUAAUUUGUCUUAGGUUUUCUCUGACACUAGUGGAUUUCUUUUUUAAGGCAGUCAUAGUUCUAAUACUGUUCAGGCCUUGAAAAAUCCAAUCUAGGCUGGAUUAUGGUGGCUCACACUUGUAGUCCCAGCACUUUUGGAGCUCUGGGUAGAAGGAUCGCUUGAGGCCAGGAGUUUGAGACCAGCCUGGGAAACACAGCAAGAACUAUUUCUACAAAAGAUUUUAAAAAAUUAACUGGGCAUGGUGGUUUGCACCUGUAGUCCUAGGUACUUGUGAAGCUGAGGUGGGAGGAUCACUCAAGCCCAGAAGUUGGAGGCUGCAGUGAGCCAUGACUGCACCACUGUACUCCAGCCUGGGUGAUGGUGCAAGACCCCAACUCUAAAAAAAUAAAAAUAAACAGUCUGAUGAAGAGUCUUUUGAUAUUCUUAUUUC